GACGAACGCUGGCGGCGUGCUUAACACAUGCAAGUCGAACGGAAAGGCCCUGCUUUUGUGGGGUGCUCGAGUGGCGAACGGGUGAGUAACACGUGAGUAACCUGCCCUUGACUUUGGGAUAACUUCAGGAAACUGGGGCUAAUACCGGAUAGGAGCUCCUGCUGCAUGGUGGGGGUUGGAAAGUUUCGGCGGUUGGGGAUGGACUCGCGGCUUAUCAGCUUGUUGGUGGGGUAGUGGCUUACCAAGGCUUUGACGGGUAGCCGGCCUGAGAGGGUGACCGGCCACAUUGGGACUGAGAUACGGCCCAGACUCCUACGGGAGGCAGCAGUGGGGAAUAUUGCACAAUGGGCGGAAGCCUGAUGCAGCAACGCCGCGUGCGGGACGACGGCCUUCGGGUUGUAAACCGCUUUCGCCUGGGACGAAGCGUGAGUGACGGUAAUGGGUAAAGAAGCACCGGCUAACUACGUG
rnacentral:rRNA from 1 species